CAAUAAGACAAGAUCAGCAUGGUGCCUGUGCAAGGAUGACAUGCAAAUUUGUGAAGCAUUCCAUAUUUUU
ensembl:snRNA U6 U6 spliceosomal RNA